rnacentral:misc_RNA from 1 species
GAAAUGCGAUACGUAAUGUGAAUUGCAGAUUUCAGUGAAUCAUCGAAUCUUUGAACGCACAUUGCGCCCGCCAGUAUUCUGGCGGGCAUGCCUGUUCGAGCGUCAUUUCAACCAUCAAGCCCCUGCGCUUGUGUUGGAGCCCUGCGGCUGCCGCAGGCUCCCAAACCCAGUGGCGGGCUCGUCGUCGUACCGAGUGCAGUAAACUUACCACGCUCAGGGCACGCGACGGGUGACCGGCCGUAAAACCCCCCACUUUCUCAAGGUUGACCUCGGAUCAGGUAGGAAUACCCGCUGAACUUAA